rnacentral:rRNA from 1 species
UGGGUCUAAACAUCCGUAGCUUGCUUAAUAAGUUUCUUGUGAAAUUCUGUCUCUUAAGGGCAGAGCGCGCAGGAAGUACUGUUGAGCUAGAGACUGGAAGACGUGAAAAGUACGUUCGAAGUAGCGGUAAAAUGCGUUAAUCUUGAGCGGACUCACAAUAGCGAAGGCAUUUCACGAGGACAGUUCUGACAGUAAGGGAUGAAGGCUAGGGGCGCGAAAGGGAUUAGAUACCCCUGUAGUCCUAGCAGUAAACACUGUACACUAAACAUCAGUACCUCCUCGAGAGGCAUUGGUGCUGUAGCGAAGGCGAAGAGUGUACUACCUGGGAAGUAUAGUCGCAAGGCCGAAACUUAAAGGAAUUGGCGGGGGAGCACAAG